UUUACCUGAGCUCACAGAGGCUGCUAUAAACCAGAUGUCACCUUGCUUAGAUAGGCUGUGAACUUUGGGAAGACAAGGGGACUGGGAUACAAGUCUUCUUCUAGAAAGAAAAGUCUCUUGGAAGAAGGAGACCACAAAGGACCCCACCUAAGUGAAAUUAUCCUAGUGACCCAUUGAAGGGUGAAGUCAUGAUACUGAAGGCCACAGCCAUGCCAGCAGGAUCCCAGAAACACAGUGUGGAUCCUGUGCUGUAGAGAAACAAGAGUUCUGCCCCCUCAGCAUCCAGGAAGGACUGAGGUGUAUAAACAGUGUGAAGGACUCCCCUGUCCAGAUUGUUUUGAAGAGAAGCUGUUGGAGGAAGUAGACACCUAACAGUCUGUCUCUGGGGCUGUUGGACAUCUGUUGAGAGUGGGCAUCAAUGGAAGUGGAACCUCCGCACACUUUCUCAGUGAUGAUAAAAACGGGGUCGGUGGAGACAUCAGAUUGCAUGUGCCAAGAGUCAGUAAGAUGGAGCUGCUGUUUUGUCUUAAUGUUCCUGCAAAAUGUGUUUAAGACUAAAUGCAGAUGAGCAAUUUACCCGAAGAUAAAGAGGUGUAUGGACAAGGCUCUGACCCUUAUUACUGGAACUCAAAUCCAGAUGGAGUUUGGUUUGAAAUCUGAUGUUUCCCAGCCUACAUGAAGGCAACAGUCUGGCAGAAGUUAGCCCUGGAGUUCUUCAGUCUCCACACCACUGGAUCUCUGGCAAGGGAACCCUUUUAAUCUCUGCAUUUGCAUCUGUUCAAGGGCAUCUGACUCUGGUGACCCUCAACAUUUCCUCAUGAUUUCA